GGUAACCAGGCUGUACGAACCGGUAGAACGAGCGUGCAUCUUGUCGUCUACCAAGUGGUUCAGCUUCAGCAUGUACAUGUAGCCAACAGUAACCGGGCGCUCGAACUUGUUGCCGGUACGGCCGUCGAACAGCUGCAUCUGGCCGCUUUCUGGCAGGUCUGCCAGUUUGAGCAUGGCCUUGAUUUCGCUUUCCUUGGCACCGUCGAACACCGGGGUAGCCAUUGGAACGCCGCCGCGCAGGUUCUUCGCCAGAUCCAGGAUUUCCUGGUCGGAGAAGGUGUCCAGCUCUUCGUUGCGACCGCCGAUCUCGUUGUAGAUCUCGUGCAGGAACUUACGCAGGUCUGCGACUUUGCGCUGCUCUUCGAUCAUACGGUUGAUCUUCUCGCCCAGACCUUUGGCCGCGAGGCCCAGGUGGGUUUCAAGGAUCUGACCAACGUUCAUACGCGAAGGUACGCCCAACGGGUUGAGGACGACGUCGACCGGGGUGCCAUUGGCAUCGUGCGGCAUGUCUUCAACCGGCAUGAUCACAGAGACCACACCCUUGUUACCGUGACGACCGGCCAUCUUGUCGCCCGGUUGGAUGCGGCGACGGAUUGCCAGGUAAACCUUGACGAUUUUCAGCACGCCUGGAGCCAGGUCAUCGCCCUGCUGCAGUUUGCGCUUCUUGUCUUCGAACUUGUCGUCCAGCAGACGGCGGCGAUCAACGAUAUAGGCCUGGGCCUUCUCGAGCUGCUCGUUCAGAGCGUCUUCAGCCAUGCGCAGUUUGAACCACUGGCCGUGCUCAAGACCGUCGAGAAUUUCGUCGGUGAUGUCCUGACCUUUCUUCAGACCUGCGCCGCCUUCAGCCUUGUGGCCUACCAGAGCGGAACGCAGACGUUCGAAGGUCGCGCCUUCAACGAUACGGAACUCUUCGUUCAGGUCCUUGCGGAUCUCGUCGAGCUGGGUCUUCUCGAUGGACAGUGCACGAGCAUCACGCUCAACGCCGUCACGGGUGAAGACCUGUACGUCGAUGACAGUACCCUUGGUACCGGUA
rnacentral:rRNA from 1 species